CCUACGGGAGGCAGCAGUGGGGAAUCUUGCGCAAUGGGCGAAAGCCUGACGCAGCCAUGCCGCGUGAAUGAUGAAGGUCUUAGGAUUGUAAAAUUCUUUCACCGGGGACGAUAAUGACGGUACCCGGAGAAGAAGCCCCGGCUAACUUCGUGCCAGCAGCCGCGGUAAUACGAAGGGGGCUAGCGUUGCUCGGAAUUACUGGGCGUAAAGGGAGCGUAGGCGGAUAGUUUAGUCAGAGGUGAAAGCCCAGGGCUCAACCUUGGAAUUGCCUUUGAUACUGGCUAUCUUGAGUACGGAAGAGGUAUGUGGAACUCCGAGUGUAGAGGUGAAAUUCGUAGAUAUUCGGAAGAACACCAGUGGCGAAGGCGACAUACUGGUCCGUUACUGACGCUGAGGCUCGAAAGCGUGGGGAGCAAACAGGAUUAGAUACCCUGGUAGUCCACGCUGUAAACGAUGAGUGCUAGUUGUCGGCAUGCAUGCAUGUCGGUGACGCAGCUAACGCAUUAAGCACUCCGCCUGGGGAGUACGGUCGCAAGAUUAAACUUAAAUGAAUUGACGG
rnacentral:rRNA from 1 species